UACGUAGGGUGCGAGCGUUAAUCGGAAUUACUGGGCGUAAAGCGUGCGCAGGCGGUUCUGUAAGCCAGGUGUGAAAUCCCCGGGCUCAACCUGGGAAUGGCAUUUGGGACUGCAAGGCUGGAGUGCGGCAGAGGAGACUGGAAUUCCUGGUGUAGCAGUGAAAUGCGUAGAUAUCAGGAGGAACACCGAUGGCGAAGGCAGGUCUCUGGGCUGACACUGACGCUCAUGCACGAAAGCGUGGGGAGCAAACAGG
rnacentral:rRNA from 1 species